GUACACGCUGUGACUAGCAUAUCAAUAAGCGGAGGAAAAGAAACUAACAAGGAUUCCCUUAGUAACGGCGAGUGAAGCGGGAAGAGCUCAAAUUUGAAAUCUUGCAAGGUUUACCUUUCACGAAUUGUAGUUUAAAGAAGUGUUUUCUGCUGAAGUUUUGGUAAAAGUUCUUUGGAAUAGGACAUCAUAGAGGGUGAGAAUCCCGUAUUUGACCAUUAUUUUCAGCUUUGUGAUACACUUUCAAAGAGUCGGAUUGUUUGGGAAUGCAGUCCAAAAUGGGUGGUAAAUUUCAUCUAAAGCUAAAUAUUGGCGAGAGACCGAUAGCGAACAAGUACCGUGAGGGAAAGAUGAAAAGAACUUUGAAAAGAGAGUUAAACAGUACGUGAAAUUGUCAAAAGGGAAGCGUUUAACACCAGUGUUGUUUUCUGAAAAUCAACCUCUGUUAGCUUUAUGCAUGUUUGUUUAGACCUAAUCAGCUAUCUUGCAUGUUCUAUUGUUUGCAGUGGUGCACUUUUCAGUUUACAGGUCAACAUCAGUUUUUUUUACCGUAAAAAAGUUAAAGAAAGGUAGCUCAUGGCUCCGGUCGUGAGUGUUAUAGUCUUUUUCCUAUGCGGUAGGAGAGACUGAGGUCUGCAGUGUAGGCUAUUUGGCUAGAUACUCAGGUGCUAUGUGAUACCAUUUCAUAAACAACUUGUUGAUUAUGUUUUGUCUAUUGCAUACUCGCUUGUACUAUCAUACCUACGCUUAGGAUGUUGAGUAGCGACAUACGCAC
rnacentral:rRNA from 1 species